UUCGUCCAGUGAUACGUCGAAUUUACCCCUGAUUUUAUUACGAAUGACAACAGUUUAAAGCGGUGAUUGAAAACGCGGAGGGUUAUUUUUGUCAUUUCACUGUCAAUUGAAAUUUUCAUGGCACACCAAACAAACCAUUGUCUGUUAUUUUUUUUUCCGCAGAUCCUUUUUUCCACCGAUCCGUUUUCCUCUCCUCUCUGAAAGGCAAUACAGAAUCCAGAUUAUUGAAAAGGAGUUGUUACGGAGUUGUUCAAUUAGUGAAUCAUGGAAUACCAGAAACUGUGUUCACGGGAUUGUUGAUGGUGUAUAAAUAUUUCAUGAGCAAGAUACGGACUAAAGGAUAUAUUUGCCACUCUUGCAGAAGUGGAACUUGAAUCCCAACCAGUUCUUCUCAAUGGAGCCCAGUAACAGUAUGAACUAUUACUGCAAACAUAGAUUGUGGUUUAAUUCAUGGAUCGAGAACGACAUUGAACAGUUCUUUGUUAUUGGAACAUCAGAAUAUCUUGCUACCAACAAAAGAUGGAUUCAACUUGAUCGAACAACAAAAGCUGCAUUCUAUUCGAUCAAGAUGUGUUGGCUUCUUCACAGUUUCUUUAAUGGCAAGCUCAUGUUGCAGCUAGGUGAGACCGUAAUGUUCAUUGCUGAGGCUAUUACAGCUAAGCUUCUUUUCAGGGCUUUGAUCAUAGAUGACUCCAAAGCUAAGCUUGCUCUUGGCCAGGAUAACAGCACAAUGAGCUAAGCCAUCCUUGGUCUUACUGCUUCUCAUUGUUCAUUGCUUUAUCAAUAUUACCAUGAUGACUCCAAAGCUAAGACUGCUCUUGGCCAGAAGAAUAGAGCAAUGAGCUAUCAGUGGUCAGGUGCAAAUAUCACUUAUCAGAAACAAAUUGCUCUUGACCUGAAAAUUAUUCGAAGAACUUUCCGAGGGUGUAACUCUUAACGAAACAAGGAGUACACCAUGAUCAGAUGCUAAGUUGUAUUUAACAAAUUUGGUGGAUUGGAAAUUUGUUACUAGCGUUAUCACAGUUGGUAGCUUUGGCAGACUGUCUACUGCAACAGUUGCAGUGAAUAUCAAUGCUUGGUCCUGUUUCGUAUGUAUGCUUCCAUUAUCGACUUCAUGUGUUGCUGAUUCUUAUCUUGGCAGAUGUUAUACCAUCUUAUUCUCCUCACUCAUCUAUGUAUUGAGGAUGCUCACUAUUAGGUUUCAAUUAGAUGUAAAUUAGGGCUUCAGCAAUUACUGCAGUCUAUCAUUGUGUUUUGGCAGGCGGCUUCUCCUUAGGAGACACCGGAGACCAUCCUCUGCCAAAAACAAAUUACAUCUUCAGCAAUGCAACUGAAUUGAACAUGACAAGCGAACAUACAUAGGUAUGGGGUCAUGAAUGGGAGGAACUUGAGAAGCAGUUGUAAGACAACUCAUAUUGUUUUCUAUUCAGUUGAUGUGAGCCAUAUGUAGGACAAAUCAUGUGGUUAAGCAAUAUCUUUUUCUGAAAUCCGUAGGACCAGAUGUUUAAUGGUAGUUAUUCAACUUCACUUUAUAAAAUAUCAAGUUAACAUCAAUAGCAGGUGUGAUUAGCUGUAUCAACACCCAGUUUAAGUUAGGAUGCAUGGAUACUGCCAACUGGGUUACUGUUGACAAUUACAUUAAUUGCUGAUCUGCAACGCCAUUGUAUAUGAAUAACCACAUCGCUUAAUGUAACACGUCUUUGCUCCACCUCAUAUGCACAAAUCAUGUGUUCUGGCUAAGGUUGGGGAAUUGGGUUCAAAGGUGUUGGAACCUCUUACAGCUAUAUAACUGCACUCUGACUGUUCUACCAGAAAAAGAGCCACAAUAAAUCAACAACAACGCCACCAGGCCCACCAUGAGAGUAAAGGAUUGGUUUUCGACCGGGUAGGUAAAGAUUCAUCAUUUCUAUACUACCAUCAUUGCAUGAUAUUGUGUUUUUGAGUGCAAAAGUCUAUAUUAUUGCGUUUCUCAAAUCAUAAGGGGUUGAGUUGAACGGAAAUCUUGGGGCUCUCACCCUUUUUUCCUCAGUUAAAUUGUACAUGUAUAGAAGAAGAGAAAACAACAUGUAUAGAAGAAGAAAAAACAACUUUCCCUGUAACUCAGGUUUCUUAAUUCAUCUCUUUUCACUCUC